UACAGAGGGUGCAAACGUUGUUCGGAAUUACUGGGCGUAAAGCGCGUGUAGGCGGCCAUCUAAGUCGGGCGUGAAAUCCCACGGCUCAACCGUGGAAAGUGCACUCGAAACUGGAUGGCUAGAGUCCUGGAGAGGAAGGUGGAAUGCUUGGUGUAGAGGUGAAAUUCGUAGAUAUCAAGCGGAACACCGGUGGCGAAGGCG
rnacentral:rRNA from 1 species